rnacentral:rRNA from 1 species
GGGGUGCUCGAGUGGCGAACGGGUGAGUAACACGUGAGUAACCUGCCCUUGACUUUGGGAUAACUUCAGGAAACUGGGGCUAAUACCGGAUAGGAGCUCCUGCUGCAUGGUGGGGGUUGGAAAGUUUCGGCGGUUGGGGAUGGACUCGCGGCUUAUCAGCUUGUUGGUGGGGUAGUGGCUUACCAAGCCUUUGACGGGUAGCCGGCCUGAGAGGGUGACCGGCCACAUUGGGACUGAGAUACGGCCCAG